rnacentral:tRNA from 1 species
GCCUUGGUGGCGGAAUUGGUAGACGCGCUGGAUUCAAAAUCCAGUUCUUCGGAGUGCGGGUUCGAUUCCCGCCCAAGGUA